rnacentral:rRNA from 1 species
CCUACGGGUGGCCGCAGUCGAGAAUACUUCACAAUGGGGGAAACCCUGAUGUUGCGACGCCGCGUGGGGGAAUGAAGGUCUUCGUAUUUUAAGCCCCUGUCGUAUGGGAGCAAAUGAGAAAUAUAGGACCACAAGAGGAAGAGACGUCUAACUCUGUGCCAGCAGCCGCGGUAGUACAGAGGUCUCAAGCGUUGUUCGAAAUCACUGGUCGUAAAGCGGGCGUAGGCUGUUUCGUAGGUCGUGUGUGAAAGGCGCGGGCUUAACCCGCGGACGGCACAUGAUACUGCGAGACUAGAGUAAUGGAGGGGGAACUGGAAUUCCCGGUGUAGCAGUGAAAUGCGUAGAUAUUGAGAGGAACACUAGUGGCGAAGGCGGGUUCCUGGACAUUAACUGACGCUGAGGCACGAAGGCCAGGGGAGCGAAAGGGAUUAGAUACCCGGGUAGUC